CUGUGAUGGGCGAGUGGCUGCCCCUCACUGGCAGAAAAGGGGUUAAAAGCAGCCCUAGAGAGGCUGUGCCGGAGGUAGCCAAUUAGAAAGGGGCUGAGAGGAGUAGCCAAUUAUGGCCCAGCAGGCCCAUAUAAGAAGGGCUGCAGGCAGAGCAGAGUUCAGUAGCUGACUGGAACUUGAGGGGGAGAAGAGCAAGCUCCUGGCAGGGUGAAGAAGCCCAGCACCUGGGGUAAUUCAGUGCUGCAAGCAGGGACUGGGGAGCUAGAGAGAGCCCCUGGCUGGUUGUUAGGGCCUGCAGGCUAAGGCCCUGAGGUGAGCAGCAUGUAUGAGGCACCUAAGGAAGUAUAUACUGAAGAAUGCCUAUGAGGAGGUAAGGAAAAGCGGUGAGGAUUAGCUGAAAUACCAUUCUGCUGGCACUCUUCUGAAAGGUUAUAUGAAUAGAGGUGGAUGGAGCAUCCUGCACAUUUUACAAAACAACUGGAACAGAACCCCCUGCUGUUGCACAACAGGAGCAACCUCCUCUCCCUUGAGAUCACCUUCCUACUGCCAGAUGGGAACUGAGAGUAAAGAUAUUCCAGCUGCAACUUACCUCUGCCCCUGUUGUAUGACAGGAAGGUGUUUUCUUCUAAGACUGAACAAGAAAUUCCACAGUAAGAUUUAAAGAAACAGCACAUAUUGAAGUCAUUGAAAUGACAUCAGUGCAAAACUGGAGUAACACAGUAAUGAAUCAGGCCCAAGAGGGUGGUCAGAAUCAAAAACUGACUUUUGCAGCGUGAUCCUUGUCUGGAAAAUGGUCUGAAUCAAACCCCCAGAUCUGAACCCCCGACUUAGACUGUAAGCAACUUGGGGUGAAGACAGUCUUUUGGUUCUGUAUUUGUACAGUGCCUGGCACAAUGGGGUGCUGGUUCAUGACCUGGACUCCUAGGUGCUAUGGUAUGACAAAUAACUUUUAAUAGUUUGAAAUCCUGAUCUAAAUGUUGUGGCUUGUGCCUCAGAUAUUAAUUGUAUAAUAAUGAAGUUUAAAAAAUUAUGCACAUGUGAAGAUGAAGAUGUAGUCAGUUUAUGGAUAAAUUUCUAUGGUUUCAGUCCAUGUGGGUUCUCUAACCCUGAAUUUUGCUUUCUGUUUUGCAUUAAAUGAAACCAGAAUAUCAAAGUGAAACUGAGUCAAAAUCACUGAGUUUCUCAAAGCCAGUGAAACAAAAAUUUUGCAUGGUUUUCAACACAAUACCAUCAAUUGGCCCUGCUUUAUUAGAAACUGGCCCCACGUCUGCAAACCUUUAAGUAAUCAGAACUCAUUUCUGAGUUUGUUACAAAACCUGAAACCAGAUGUGUUUUGUGUCAUCUAGGGUUUUGAAACAUUUUGCUUGCUGUACUUUUAUAGCACAAAUGUUUUCCUCUCCACAUUGGGCAAUACCCACAAAACAAAAUCUCACCAUAAUAACAACAACAACCCUAUUGUGCUUUAUGAAGACAAGCUCAUCAAGACACCAACGACAGCAGUCUUCCAAAUGUUUGUUCCAUAGAUUUCUAGUCUCAGUGGAAAUUUUGCAUGGGUCCAGCAUUCUCUCACACACCCAUGAGAACUCAGGUAUCAUUAAAUAUCUGUGGUGUGGAAAGUGAUGGGAAAUUAUUUUCCCUAAUAAAUAAAUCUGUUGUGUAUGUAUUUUUAAUUAUAUUAAUGAUUUCUCUUUCUAUAGAAAAUAUAAGUUGCAAUAAAGUAACUCAUUUUUAUAAACUAAUGUACAAAAUGCAUGCAUGUGCAUAUGACUGAUUAAUCGCCUACCUGUCCAUUUACACAAUGUUCCUGUACAACUCUGCAUGCCAAUUAGAAUGUAGUUGUGUACAUGUAUUUUAA